AUACUACUCCCUCCGUUCGGAAUUACUUGUCUCGGAAAUGGAUGUAUCUAGAACUAAAAUAUGUCUAGAUACAUCCAUUUCUGCGACAAGUAAUUCCGAACGGAGGGAGUAGCAG
rnacentral:pre_miRNA from 1 species